rnacentral:ncRNA from 1 species
ACCACAGCCGCAAGGCUGUGCUGCAUAUGCAGAAGUCAGCAGAGGCCAUAGUAGCCGAGAGGUGAAGGG